GUGACAUCACUGGUUCCCAUAUGAUCACUGAAGUUAAGCAAUGUCCAACCUGGUCAGUACCUAGAUGAGUGAAUGUUUGGGAAUCCCAGGUGAUGUAUG